rnacentral:rRNA from 1 species
GCACUGUUUCGGCUAGGGGGUCAUCCCGACUUACCAACCCGAUGCAAACUACGAAUACCGAAGAAUGUUAUCACGGGAGACACACGGCGGGUGCUAACGUCCGUCGUGAAGAGGGAAACAACCCAGACCGCCAGCUAAGGUCCCAAAGUCAUGGUUAAGUGGGAAACGAUGUGGGAAGGCACAGACAGCCAGGAUGUUGGCUUAGAAGCAGCCAUCAUUUAAAGAAAGCGUAAUAGCUCACUGGUCGAGUCGGCCUGCGCGGAAGAUGUAACGGGGCUAAACCAUGCACCGAAGCUGCGGCAGCGACACUAUGUGUUGUUGGGUAGGGGAGCGUUCUGUAAGCCUGCGAAGGUGACCUGUGAGGGUUGCUGGAGGUAUCAGAAGUGCGAAUGCUGACAUAAGUAACGAUAAAGCGGGUGAAAAGCCCGCUCGCCGGAAGACCAAGGGUUCCUGUCCAACGUUAAUCGGGGCAGGGUGAGUCGACCCCUAAGGCGAGGCCGAAAGGCGUAGUCGAUGGGAAACAGGUUAAUAUUCCUGUACUUGGUGUUACUGCGAAGGGGGGACGGAGAAGGCUAUGUUAGCCGGGCGACGGUUGUCCCG